rnacentral:rRNA from 1 species
AUGAACGCUGGCGGCGUGCCUAAUACAUGCAAGUCGAGCGAACGGACGAGAAGCUUGCUUCUCUGAUGUUAGCGGCGGACGGGUGAGUAACACGUGGAUAACCUACCUAUAAGACUGGGAUAACUUCGGGAAACCGGAGCUAAUACCGGAUAAUAUUUUGAACCGCAUGGUUCAAAAGUGAAAGACGGUCUUGCUGUCACUUAUAGAUGGAUCCGCGCUGCAUUAGCUAGUUGGUAAGGUAACGGCUUACCAAGGCAACGAUGCAUAGCCGACCUGAGAGGGUGAUCGGCCACACUGGAACUGAGACACGGUCCAGACUCCUACGGGAGGCAGCAGUAGGGAAUCUUCCGCAAUGGGCGAAAGCCUGACGGAGCAACGCCGCGUGAGUGAUGAAGGUCUUCGGAUCGUAAAACUCUGUUAUUAGGGAAGAACAUAUGUGUAAGUAACUGUGCACAUCUUGACGGUACCUAAUCAGAAAGCCAAGGCUAACUACGUG